rnacentral:rRNA from 1 species
CCUACGGGAGGCAGCAGUGGGGAAUAUUGCACAAUGGGGGAAACCCUGAUGCAGCAACGCCGCGUGAGUGAAGACGUAUCUCGGUUCGUAAACCUCUGUCCUCAGGGAAGAAUAUUAACGUAACUUACUAAGCAACCCAGGCUAACUACGUGCCAGCAGCCGCCGUAAUACGUAGGGGGCCAGCGUUUUCCGGAAUUACUGGGUUUAAAGGGGGCGUAGGCGGGAGGCUAAGUUAGAGGUGAAAUCCCAGGGCUUAACUUCGAGACUGCCGGUGAUACUGGUCUGCUAGAGAGAAGUAGGGGUAGGCGGAAUUCAGGGUGUAGCGGUGAAAUGCGUAGAGAUUCGACAGAACACCGGUGGCGAAGGCGGCCAACUAGGCUUUAACUGACGCUGAGGCACGAAAGUGUGGGGAGCAAACAGGAUUAGAUACCCUAGUAGUC